AGAGUUUGAUCCUGGCUCAGGAUAAACGCUGGCGGCGUGCCUAACACAUGCAAGUCGAACGCCCUUGCGCAAGCAAGGGAGUGGCGGACGGGUGAGGAACACGUGGAUAACCUGCCCUGCGGUGAGGAAUACCGGCGAGAAAUCGCCGACAAUACCGCAUGUGCUUGUGCAAACAAGUAAAGUCUCGCAAGAGACGCCAC
rnacentral:rRNA from 1 species